GACGAACGCUGGCGGCGUGCUUAACACAUGCAAGUCGAACGGAAAGGCCCUGCUUGCAGGGUACUCGAGUGGCGAACGGGUGAGUAACACGUGGGUGAUCUGCCCUGCACUUCGGGAUAAGCUUGGGAAACUGGGUCUAAUACCGGAUAGGAGCCAUCUUUAGUGUGGUGGUUGGAAAGUUUUUUCGGUGUAGGAUGGGCUCGCGGCCUAUCAGCUUGUUGGUGGGGUAAUGGCCUACCAAGGCGGCGACGGGUAGCCGGCCUGAGAGGGUGUACGGCCACAUUGGGACUGAGAUACGGCCCAGACUCCGACGGGAGGCAGCAGUGGGGAAUAUUGCACAAUGGGCGCAAGCCUGAUGCAGCGACGCCGCGUGGGGGAUGAAGGCCUUCGGGUUGUAAACUCCUUUCGCUAGGGACGAAGCUUUUUUGUGACGGUACCUAGAGAAGAAGCACCGGCUAACUACGUG
rnacentral:rRNA from 1 species